AUAGUAGUGUCAGAGUUUGAUCCUGGCGUCAGAUGAACGCUGGCGGCGUGCCUAACACAUGCAAGUCGAGCGCGACUGAUUUGAUGCUUGCAUCAUUGAAAGUUGAGCGGCGGACGGGUGAGUAACGCGUGGGUAACCUGCCCUAUACACAUGGAUAACAUACUGAAAAGUUUACUAAUACAUGAUAAUGUAUAUUUACGGCAUCGUAGGUAUACCAAAGUGUUAGCGGUAUAGGAUGGACCCGCGUCUGAUUAGCUAGUUGGUGAGAUAACUGCCCACCAAGGCGACGAUCAGCAGCCGACCUGAGAGGGUGAUCGGCCACAUUGGAACUGAGACACGGUCCAA
rnacentral:rRNA from 1 species